ACGGAGGGUGCAAGCGUUAUCCGGAAUCACUGGGUUUAAAGGGUGCGUAGGCGGCUAUGUAAGUCAGUUGUGAAAUACCUCGGCUUAACCGAAGGAAGUGCGAUUGAUACUGCGUAGCUUGAAUCAGGUUGAGGUAGGCGGAAUGUGACAUGUAGCGGUGAAAUGCUUAGAUAUGUCAUAGAACACCGAUUGCGAAGGCAGCUUACUGGGCUUUGAUUGACGCUGAGGCACGAAAGCGUGGGGAGCAAACAGGA
rnacentral:rRNA from 1 species